UGCGUAGGCGGGCUAAUAAGUCAGUGGUGAAAUCUUCCGGCUCAACCGGGAACCUGCCAUUGACACUGUUAGUCUUGAGUUCGGCUGAGGUAGGCGGAAUGUGUAAUGUAGCGGUGAAAUGCUUAGAUAUUACACAGAACACCAAUUGCGUAGGCAGCUUACUAGACCGACACUGACGCUGAGGCACGAAAGCGUGGGGAGCGAACAGGAUUAGAUACCCUGGUAGUCC
rnacentral:rRNA from 1 species